rnacentral:rRNA from 1 species
CAAAAACAUGUCUUUUUGUAUUUAAUUUAAAGUCUAAUCUGCCCACUGAUUUUUAAUUAAAGGGCUGCAGUAAUUUGACUGUACAAAGGUAGCAUAAUCAUUAGUCUUUUAAUUGAAGACUUGUAUGAAAGAUUUGAUGAGAUAUAAACUGUCUCUUUAUUACAAUUAAAAUUUAAUUUUUUAGUUAAAAAGCUAAAAUAUUUUUAAAAGACGAGAAGACCCUAUAGAGUUUUAUAGUUUUUAUUAUAAAAUAUUUAUAUAAAAUUUUAAUGUUAUAUUAUAAAAAUUAUUUUGUUGGGGAGAUAAAAAAAUUAAAUAAACUUUUUUAAAUAUUUUCAUGAAUAAUUGAGUAAUUGAUCCAUAUUUAUUGAUUAAAAGAAAAAAUUACCUUAGGGAUAACAGCGUAAUAUUUUUUUUUAGUACAAAUAAGAAAAAAAGUUUGCGACCUCGAUGUUGGAUUAAGAUAAAAUUUAAAUGUAAAAGUUUAAAAUUUUGAUCUG